UAUCAUGGGUCAUUUAGACAACC
rnacentral:miRNA from 1 species